GUGAACGCUGGCGGUAGGCCUAACACAUGCACGUCGAACGGCAGCACAGUAAGAGCUUGCUCUUACGGGUGGCGAGUGGCGGACGGGUGAGGAAUACAUCGGAAUCUACUUUUUCGUGGGGGAUAACGUAGGGAAACUUACGCUAAUACCGCAUACGACCUACGGGUGAAAGCAGGGGAUCUUCGGACCUUGCGCGAUUGAAUGAGCCGAUGUCGGAUUAGCUAGUUGGCGGGGUAAAGGCCCACCAAGGCGACGAUCCGUAGCUGGUCUGAGAGGAUGAUCAGCCACACUGGAACUGGGACACGGUCCAGACUCCUACGGGAGGCAGCAGUGGGGAAUAUUGGACAAUGGGCGCAAGCCUGAUCCAGCCAUACCGCGUGGGUGAAGAAGGCCUUCGGGUUGUAAAGCCCUUUUGUUGGGAAAGAAAAGCAGCAGGUUAAUACCCCGCUGUUCUGACGGUACCCAAAGAAUAAGCACCGGCUAACUUCGUG
rnacentral:rRNA from 1 species